GGGGACCAAAACACCAGAGAAGGACUUAUAAUAUACCAUCGUAAACCUAUCAGGUCCCGGAGCUUUGCCAGCAGGAAUCAUGGCAAUUGCAUCCACAAUUUCUUUUUGAGAUAUAAGAGCAUUAGUUUAUCCAAUGUAUCAAUUGAGAUUUGCUUCAGCUGGACUUUAUCCAGAAAACAGCUAAUUUAUUCCAUGGUAGGCUGCUGCACGUUAGGCUCAAAUGCCAAAUUGUAAAGUUUUUUAUAGUAGCUAGCAAAGGUAUUACUUAUCUUGACUGGAUGAGUCACUUUUAAACACUUCUCAGUCAAUAAAUGCUAGUUUUCCUGGUACUAUAGGGUCUUUGGGUCCCCCCC